CACGUAGGGGGCAAGCGUUGUCCGGAUUUAUUGGGCGUAAAGAGCUCGUAGGCGGCUCAGUAAGUCAGGUGUGAAACCUCCAGGCUCAACCUGGAGACGCCACCUGAUACUGCUGUGGCUUGAGUCCGGUAGGGGAGCGUGGAAUUCCUGGUGUAGCGGUGAAAUGCGCAGAUAUCAGGAGGAACACCAGCGGCGAAGGCGGCGCUCUGGGCCGGAACUGACGCUGAGGAGCGAAAGCGUGGGUAGCAAACAGG
rnacentral:rRNA from 1 species